CGGGGUGAGUAAUGUAUGGGGAUCUGCCUGAUGGCGGGGGAUAACUACUGGAAACGGUAGCUAAUACCGCAUAAUGUCUACGGACCAAAGCGGGGGACCUCCGGGCCUCGCGCCAUCAGAUGAACCCAUAUGGGAUUAGCUAGUAGGUAAGGUAGCGGCUUACCUAGGCGACGAUCCCUAGCUGGUCUGAGAGGAUGAUCAGCCACACUGGGACUGAGACACGGUCCAG
rnacentral:rRNA from 1 species